rnacentral:rRNA from 1 species
GACGAACGCUGGCGGCGUGCCUAAUACAUGCAAGUUGAGCGAUGAAGAUUGGUGCUUGCACCAAUUUGAAGAGCAGCGCACGGGUGAGUAACGCGUGUGGAAUCUGCCUUUGAGCGGGGGACAACAUUUGGAAACGAAUUCUAAUACCGCAUAACAACUUUAAACAUAAGUUUUAAGUUUGAAAGAUGCAAUUGCAUCACUCAAAGAUGAUCCCGCGUUGUAUUAGCUAGUUGGUGAGGUAAAGGCUCACCAAGGCGAUGAUACAUAGCCGAACUGAGAGGGUGAGCGGCCACAUUGGGACUGAGACACGGCCCAAACGCAUACGGGAGGCAGCAGGAGGGAAUCUUCGGCAAGAGACGAAAGUCUGAGCGAGAAACGCCGCGGGAGUGAAGAAGGUUGUCGGAUCGUAAAAAUCGGUUGGUAGAGAAGAACGUUGGUGAGAGUGGAACGAUCAUAAAGUGACGGUAACUACUCAGAAAGGGACGGCUAACUACGUG